GGCAGGAGAAUCAUUUAAAUCCAGGAGGCAGAGGUUGCAGCGAGUUGAGAUCACGCCACUGCACUCCAGCCUGGGCAACAAGAGCAAGACUUCGUCUCAAAAAAAAAAAAAAAAUCCAAACUCCACUCCACACCAGGACCAUGUGCUUUGGGGCCACCUGCGGCCUGCUCUGUGGGGUAGCAGCUGCCUGAGUUCCCUGCAGUGGGGUGGGGUGAGGCUGGGUCCAGAAGCCCUGAAGUGGACGUGACCGUGUCCCUUCCUGCCAUGGCGGGGGGAAGCUAUCCUUCCCUGGUGCACAGCUGACCCCUCGGAUCCUUGUCCCUGCAGCCCAGCCCCUCCUACGGGUGCUUCUGGGAAAGGAGACAUUGCAUCAGUCCACAUUCAGCCCCGAAAACAGAACCACUCAGGCACUGGUAGGAAAGACAGACCCGGUUCUUGUCCUCCUGGGGACUAGGAAGAUGGCCGCACCACCUCCUGCUUCCGGAGGCUGGGCUGGGCUCAGGAGGAUGGGCUGGAAUAGGGAGGGUGCCAGCCAUUCUCUGCCUGCUCCUUAAAACUUUGCUCGGAGGGAGUCGUGUCUCCUGACUGUGCUGUCAUCAGAAGUGGCCAUGGGCUCUUGCCUGCUGGUCCAGCUUGUGAGUACGUCUAGCUGGUGGGGGCUCAUCUAUAGCCAGAAGCCCAGUGCAAGAGCGAGCAGUGGAGUUAGCGUUUCAUCCUCUCCAGGCAGGAAGAGCUGGAAUGGAGGCUGGAAGAGCCAUGCUGAGAUCCCUGCACAGCCCACAUGUGACUGCCUUACCCACGCACCCCCUUUCAUUCAGCCCAGACCUCCAGAUGACAUCAGCGACCAACCAUGCUGCUGACAAGCACAGAGGGGUGUGCCCUCCCCACAUCGGACCAGACUCUGUGUCUCACUCUCCCCAACAUAUGACACUGGAAAGACAAAGUCUGAUUCCAUUUGAAUCAUAAACGCUUUGCGGCAGCAACUCCACUUAAGGGCCAUCCCGUGGCUCUGACUGUCCAGGGGCCCAUCCCCACGUCCUCGCAGACGGUGGACGGAGGACGGCCCCAGAGUCUUCCCCAGGCACAGCUGGCUGUGGGUUAAGUAUGAUCAGGGCUCUGGUGUUUGGGAGAAUCGUAGUGAAGCAGAACCAGCUAUCUUACAGGAGAAACAGCAAGAAACAGCAAGCUGCAGGGCUGCGUUGCAUCGUGCGGCUCUCAGCACUGGCUGAAUACUAACAUUGUCUACGAAGUUAAAAACAUCAACAACAACAAAAAACCCGCUCUGCCCAAACCCAUCCACUGGGAUGGAUGCAGCUUGUGGGGGUGGGGCCAGUCUUCUGAAUUUUUAAAAACUUGCCUCGGUGAUUGUCUUUGCUCAGGAUGCUGUAACAAAUCAUCACAGGCUGCGGGGCUGAAACCACGGGGAUCUAGUCCUCACUGUUCUGGAGGCUGGAAUCUGCCAUCAGCGUCCGAGGACGGGGCGGGGAGGGCCCUCUUCCUGGCUGUGGGUGACGCCUUCACUCUGUGCACUCCCAGGGGUCUCCCUUGGCCUCUUUGGUGAGGGCACUGAUCCCAUCGGGGGGACCCCAGCCUCCUGCCCUAACUGCCCCCCGAAGGGCAUUCACCCUCCCCCGAAGGCCACCGCCAUUCACCCUCCCCCAAAGGCCACCUCCUCACUCACCCUCCCCCAAAGGCCAUUCACCCUCCCCCGAAGGCCACCUCCUCACUCAUCCUCCCCCGAAGGCCACCUCCUCACUCACCCUCCCCCGAAGGCCAUUCACCCUCCCCCGAAGGCCACCUCCUCACUCACCCUCCCCCGAAGGCCAUUCACCCUCCCCCGAAGGCCACCUCCUCACUCACCCUCCCCCGAAGGCCACCUCCUCACUCAUCCUCUCAGGGUAGGAUUUCACCGUGGGAGCUUUAGGAGGACGUGAACACCUCUGCAGUGAUUUUGAUGUGAACUGUGGAUGGAGACCCCCAUUCUGGGCUUUGCUGCCACAUGUGUGGGUGCAUGUGAGAUACACAGUGUCAGACACAUGCUUUCCUGAGCAGGGCCCAUCUCUGGGAGGAUUCAGAAGACACUGUGGCCCUUGGGGGUUGCAGAUGGAGGGGAACUGACUAUUUUUCCUGCUGUGCUGGCUGUUGGCUGUGCUGGCUGUUGGCCAUGCUGGCUGUUGACCGUGCUGGCUGUUGACCAUUCUGGGUGUUGACUAUGCUAGCUGUUGGCCGUGCUGGCUGUUGACUGUGCUGGCUGUUGACCAUUCUGGGUGUUGACCAUGCUAGCUGUUGACCGUGCUGGCUGUUGACCGUGCUGGGUGUUGACCGUGCUGGCUGUUGACCGUGCUGGGUGUUGACCGUGCUGGGUGUUGACCGUGCUGGGUGUUGACUGUGCUGGGUGUUGACUGUGCUUGGCUGUUGACCGUGCUGGCUGUUGACCUUGCUGGCUGUUGACCGUGCUGGCUGUUGACCAUUCUGGGUGUUGACUAUGCUAGCUGUUGACUGUGCUGGCUGUUGACUCUGCUGGGUGUUGACUGUGCUGGCUGUUGACUGUGCUGGCUGUUGACCAUCUGGCUGUUGACCGUGCUGGCUGUUGACCGUGCUGGCUGUUGACCAUGCUGGCUGUUGACUGUGCUGGCUGUUGACUGUGCUGGGUGUUGACUAUGCUAGCUGUUGAUUGUGCUGGCUGUUGACCAUCUGGCUGUUGACCGUGCUGGCUGUUGACCAUGCUGGCUGUUGACCGUGCUGGCUGUUGACCAUUCUGGGUGUUGACUAUGCUAGCUGCUGACCGUGCUGGCUGUUGACCGUGCUGGCUGUUGACUGUGCUGGGUGUUGACUGUGCUGGCUGUUGGCUGUGCUGGCUGUUGACCUUGCUGGCUGUUGACCGUGCUGGCUGUCGACCGUUCUGGGUGUUGACUAUGCUAGCUGUUGACUGUGCUGGCUGUUGGCUGUGCUGGCUGUUGGCUGUGCUGACUGUUGACUGUGCUGACUGUUGACUGUGCUAGCUGUUGGGCUUGGUGUUAUAGGCAUGUCUUCCCUAUUUAACAUUUACAUUUUUUUAAAUUAAAAAUGAUGUCUUCUCUAGGCCUCUCUAGGCCCUACCUCCAAGAAUGGG
rnacentral:lncRNA from 10 species